GAAGCAUUCAAAGAACCAAUCAAGGUUGUCGAAUUCUGACAACUUUUCUUCACCUGGGUCACUUGAUUUUGAAGCUACUGAUGAGAGUUUCGCAAGCUCUCUUGAACAAGCUUCGGUUAAAUACCCAUCUCUGAUUCAGAACGACCCCAAAAGCUGUAAAAUUUGACUUUCAGAGCCUUCCAUUCCAAUGUCGCCUCUUCCUUCUCUCCUGGAUCCAUUGUUGCGGUGUCUCUUCCUUGUAUGAAGAGUUAAUUUUCAGAUGGAUUUCCUCUCAGCUCAUUAGCAGAUGAAUGUGCUAGACGUUUUGGGAUUGAUUCUUGCGGGCAGUUAACUAAUGACGCAGGGAACUACUUUGCUCUUGCAAUGAUUUUUCCUUCUUCUAAGAUUACAAAGAACGGUGUGCUAUUGUCUUCAAAUCUUUCCAAUACAAUGGGUUGUCCUCCAUCAGGCAGGGUCAUAUUCAUCCACUACGUACAAAAUCAAUCCCAAGCUGGUCUUGUAUGUGAUACAAGAAAAGCGCGUAGAACUAAAGUUAAUUGUGUCUCGGUAUACGACUGCAAGGAUGUGUUCGUAAGUUAUGGUCCUUCUUUUAUUACAUUCAUUCAUGAAUAUCUUUUUUUUUUUAGUUAGUUUUGGUUUACGACGUGCAAAGGGAGUGCUUCUUCAUGGUCCUCCUGGUAUGGGAAAGACUUAUUUGGCUCGAUUAUGAAUUUUUCUCUGUCAAUGGAUCUGAAGUUGUGAAACAAUACCAUGGAGAAAGUGAGCAACCUUUGCGUGAAGUUUUUGACUCAGCUAGCCAAGCUUUACCUUUUGUGGCUAGGUUUAUUCUCUGUUUCAAUUUUCUUGGAUUCAUUUUCUUGUUAAAACUUAGAUGCAUGUGGUGGUAAAGGCAAAUGUACAAAUUAUGUACUUUCAUUCAACGUACAAAACUGUUUUAAUCCUU